AUCUGUUUAACGCCGGUUAAGCAGGUGCCUUUAUUUAUGUAUCGCAGGCCUUAGAAGAUACAUAAAUAAGGGCAUUUUUUGU
rnacentral:ncRNA from 1 species